UCCAGGAAACUGAAGGUCCUAAUGAUCUGAAGUUUAGCACAGGGUGUGCUUGUCGAACAGGUACUCGGCCAUCUUGUUGUUGUGUGCGUCCAUCUUGGUGAGGUUGGUGAUGUGGUCUCCCAGCUUCUUGAUGGCCUCCACCUGCUCAUUCAGGUAGUGGGUCUCCAGGAA